rnacentral:rRNA from 1 species
GCCAGACUCCUACGGGAGGCAGCAGUGAGGAAUAUUGGUCAAUGGCCGAGAGGCUGAACCAGCCAAGUCGCGUGAGGGAAGACGGCCCUACGGGUUGUAAACCUCUUUUGUCGGGGAGCAAAGAGAGUCACGUGUGACUCAUUGAGAGUACCCGAAGAAAAAGCAUCGGCUAACUCCGUGCCAGCAGCCGCGGUAAUACGGAGGAUGCGAGCGUUAUCCGGAUUUAUUGGGUUUAAAGGGUGCGCAGGCGGAGGUGCAAGUCAGCGGUCAAAUUGCGGGGCUCAACCCCGUACUGCCGUUGAAACUGGCUUGCUAGAGUGGGCGAGAAGUAUGCGGAAUGCGUGGUGUAGCGGUGAAAUGCAUAGAUAUCACGCAGAACUCCGAUUGCGAAGGCAGCAUACCGGCGCCCAACUGACGCUCAGGCACGAAAGCGUGGGUAUCGAACAGGAUUAGAUACCCGCGUAAC